UACGUAGGUGGCAAGCGUUGUCCGGAUUUACUGGGCGUAAAGAGCGCGCAGGCGGUCGUUCAAGUCGAGUGUGAAAGCCCCCGGCUCAACUGGGGAGGGUCACUCGAUACUGAUCGACUCGAAAGGCAGAAGAGGGAAGCGGAAUUCCCGGUGUAGUGGUGAAAUGCGUAGAUAUCGGGAGGAACACCAGUGGCGAAGGCGGCUUUCUGGUCUGCUCUUGACGCUGAGGCGCGAAAGCUAGGGUAGCAAACGGG
rnacentral:rRNA from 1 species